rnacentral:rRNA from 1 species
UCGAGCGAACAGAUAAGGAGCUUGCUCCUUUGACGUUAGCGGCGGACGGGUGAGUAACACGUGGAUAACCUACCUAUAAGACUGGGAUAACUUCGGGAAACCGGAGCUAAUACCGGAUAAUAUAUUGAACCGCAUGGUUCAAUAGUGAAAGACGGUUUUGCUGUCACUUAUAGAUGGAUCCGCGCCGCAUUAGCUAGUUGGUAAGGUAACGGCUUACCAAGGCAACGAUGCGUAGCCGACCUGAGAGGGUGAUCGGCCACACUGGAACUGAGACACGGUCCAGACUCCUACGGGAGGCAGCAGUAGGGAAUCUUCCGCAAUGGGCGAAAGCCUGACGGAGCAACGCCGCGUGAGUGAUGAAGGUCUUCGGAUCGUAAAACUCUGUUAUUAGGGAAGAACAAAUGUGUAAGUAACUAUGCACGUCUUGACGGUACCUAAUCAGAAAGCCACGGCUAACUACGUGCCAGCAGCCGCGGUAAUACGUAGGUGGCAAGCGUUAUCCGGAAUUAUUGGGCGUAAAGCGCGCGUAGGCGGUUUUUUAAGUCUGAUGUGAAAGCCCACGGCUCAACCGUGGAGGGUCAUUGGAAACUGGAAAACUUGAGUGCAGAAGAGGAAAGUGGAAUUCCAUGUGUAGCGGUGAAAUGCGCAGAGAUAUGGAGGAACACCAGUGGCGAAGGCGACUU